GACGUAGGGUGCGAGCGUUGUCCGGAUUUAUUGGGCGUAAAGGGCUCGUAGGCGGUCUGUCACGUCAGGAGUGAAAACUCGGGGCUCAACCCCGAGCCUGCUUCUGAUACGGGCAGACUGGAGGGAUGCAGGGGAGAACGGAAUUCCUGGUGUAGCGGUGAAAUGCGCAGAUAUCAGGAGGAACACCGGUGGCGAAGGCGGGUCUCUGGGCCAUAACUGACGCUGAGGAGCGAAAGCGUGGGGAGCGAACAGG
rnacentral:rRNA from 1 species